rnacentral:lncRNA from 1 species
GAGAGGGGCAGCGGGCACGGCAGCGAGGGCAGCCGGGGGCGGGAGAGGAGCGGAGCGACGGACGGGGCGCAGGGAUGGACGGAGCGGAGCGACGGACGGGGCGCAGGGAUGGACGGAGCGGAGCGAUGGAUGGAGCGGAGCGGAGCGNNNNNNNNNNACGGAGCGGAGCGAUGGAUGGAGCGGAGCGGAGCGAUGGAUGGAGCGGAGCGAUGGACGGAGCGCAGGGAUGGACGGAGCGGAGCGAUGGAUGGAGCGGAGCGACGGACGGGGUGCAGGGAUGGACGGAGCGGAGCGACGGACGGAGCGCAGGGAUGGACGGAGCGGAGCGAUGGAUGGAGCGGAGCGGAGCGAUGGAUGGAGCGGAGCGGAGCGAUGGACGGAGCGGAGCGAUGGACGGACGGAGCUCAGGAUGGAGCGGAGCGGAGCGAUGGAUGGAGCGGAGGGGACGGACGGAGCUCAGGGAUGGAGCGGAGCGGAGGGGACGGACAGAGCGGAGGGGAUGGACGGAGCGCAGGGACGGACGGAGCGAUGGAUGGACGGAGCGAUGGACGGAGCGAUGGACGGAGCGAUGGAUGAACGGAGCGAUGAACGGAGCGAUGAACGGAUGGAGCGAUGGACGGAGAGGAGGGAUGGACGGAGCGGAGCGAUGGAUGGACGGAGCGGAUCGAUGGACGGAGCGAUGGACGGAGAGGAGGGAUGGACGGAGCGGAGCGAUGAACGGACGGAGCGAUGGACGGAGCGGUUCAGCCGCGGCGCUCCCGCAGCCUCCGCUCCCGCCGGGCAGCAGCGCCCGGUGAAAACGGCAAAGCGCAGGAGAAGAGCGCUGUCAAAAAACGAGAGUGCCCUGUGCGCCUUCCUCUGCGACCGCGGUGGAAACCCCCCGCGAAACACCCGGGUCCGUCCCACCCGUGUCCGCCCCACCUGCGUUUCCCCGCCUCAAGCCCACCUGAGUUUCAGCAGACCCCGCCACCCCCUCCUCACCCUCUUGUUUUGCCUCUUUUACGCGUUCUCACUCCCAUCCUCCAAACAUAAUUCACAAGCAGCCGUUUCAUCCCUAUUCCUUUCGUUUUGAUGCUUUCUUUCCCCUGGGCAUCCUGGACAGCUGGCGUCUCUUUCCUCCUUCUUGUGGCAAAAGAAAAAUGUAAAUAUUUGUGGCCC